rnacentral:rRNA from 1 species
UACGUAGGGUGCAAGCGUUGUCCGGAAUCACUGGGCGUAAAGGGCGCGUAGGUGGCGACCCAAGUCGAUGGUGAAAGCUCGCCGCUCAACGGCGAGUCGGCCACUGAUACUGGGUUGCUGGAGCACUGUAGAGGCAGAUGGAAUUCCGGGUGUAGCGGUGGAAUGCGUAGAGAUCCGGAAGAACACCGGUGGCGAAGGCGGUCUGCUGGGCAGUUGCUGACACUGAGGCGCGACAGCGUGGGGAGCAAACAGG